AUCGAAUUAUAACUUUAAAAUCUAGAAUUCUCUCUUAUUAAUGAUUCGGAAAUAAAAAAAACUUGGUUAUGUUAUUAUUCUUCGUUGGUUCGUUUAAUGGAAAACACUUUGCUACAAGAAAUAAUGGAAAUUUUAUAACGAAUUUAAUAAAAUGUUUUUAUCAUUAUAUAUAAAGAAUUAAUGGCAAGAAAAAGUUAUAUACAACCUCAACUCAUAUGGGACUACCCCCUGAAUUUAAGCAUAUUAAUUAGGGGAGGAAAAGAAACUAACAAGGAUUUUCUUAGUAGCGGCGAGCGAAAAGAAAACAGUUUAGCACUAAGUCACUUUGUCUAUAUGGCAAAUGUGAGAUGCAGUGUAUUUAGCGUCAAUAUUCUAGUAUGAGAAAUUAACGAUUUAAUGAGGCCAUUUACCCAUAGAGGGUGCCAGGCCCGUAUAACGUUAAUGAUUACUAGAUGAUGUUUCCAAAGAGUCGUGUUGCUUGAUAGUGCAGCACUAAGUGGGUGGUAAACUCCAUCUAAAACUAAAUAUAACAAUGAGACCGAUAGUAAACAAGUACCGUGAGGGAAAGUUGAAAAGAACUCUGAAUAGAGAGUUAAACAGUACGUGAGACUGCUUAGAGUUUAAGCCCGAUGAACCUGAAUAUCCGUUAUGGAAAAUUCAUCAUUAAAAUUGUAUUAUUUAAAUAAUAUUAUGAGGAUAGUGUGCAUUUUUUCCAUAUAAGGACAUUGUAAUCUAUUAGCAUAUACAAAAUGUAUCAUAAAAUAUAACUUAUAGUUAUAAUUUUAUAAUGGCAUAAUUAUCAUUGAUUUUUGUGUUUAUUAUAUGCCCUUGUAUGAUUAACAAUGCGAAAGAUUCAGGAUACCUUCGGGACCCGUCUUGAAACACGGACCAAGGAGUCUAACAUAUGUUCAAGUUAUUAGGAUAUAAACCUAAUAGCGUAACUUGACUAAUAAUGGGAUUAGUUUUUUAACUAUUUAUAGGUAAUUAAUACAAUUAUGUAUAAUGUAUAUUUAUAUUAUUUAUGCCUCUAACUGGAACGUACCUUGAGCAUAUAUGCUGUGACCCGAAAGAUGAUGAACUAUACUUGAUCAGGUUGAAGUCAGGGGAAACUCUGAUGGAAGACCGAAACAGUUCUUGCAAAUCAAUUGUCAGAAUUGAGUAUAGGGGCGAAAGACCAAUCAAACCAUCUAGUAGCUGGUUCCUUCCGAAGUUUCCCUCAGGAUAGCUGGUGCAUUUUAAUAUUAUAGAAAAUAAUCUUAUCUGGUAAAGCGAAUGAUUAAAGGCCUUAGGGUCGAAACGAUCUUAUCCUAUUCUCAAACUUUAAAUGGGUAAGAACCUUAACUUUCUUAAUAUGAAGUUCAAGGUUAUGAUAUAAUGUGCCCAGUGGGCCACUUUUGGUAAGCAGAACAGGCGCUGUGGGAUGAACCAAACGUAAUGUUACGGUGCCCAAAUUAACAACUCAUGCAGAUACCAUGAAAGGCGUUGGUUGCUUAAAGCAACAGGACGGUGAUCAUGGAAGUCGAAAUCCGCUAAGGAGUGUGUAACAACUCACCUGCCGAAGCAACUAGCCCUUAAAAUGGAUGGCGCUUAAGUUGUAUACCUAUACAUUACCGCUAAAGUAGAUGAUUUAUAUUACUUGUGAUAUAAAUUUUGGAACUUUAGAGAGUAGGAAGGUACAAUGACGCGCAUGAAUGGAUUAACGAGAUUGCUACUGUCCCUAUCUACUUACUUGUGGCAGAGCUUUUUCGCCGGCCGAAGAGCAGUAAUCCGAAGCAGUUCCGGUGCAGUGAAUGUGCCGGUAACUAGAGGUUGCCCGCAGGGGUCA
rnacentral:rRNA from 1 species